CAGUCGCCGCGGGAAUACGGAGGGGGCUAGCGUUGUUCGGAAUUACUGGGCGUAAAGCGCACGUAGGCGGCUUGGUAAGUUAGAGGUGAAAGCCCGGAGCUCAACUCCGGAAUUGCCUUUAAGACUGCCGAGCUAGCAGGUGAGAGAGGUAAGUGGAAUUCCGAGUGUAGAGGUGAAAUUCGUAGAUAUUCGGAAGAACACCAGUGGCGAAGGCGACUGACUGGACAAGUAUUGACGCUGAGGUGCGAAAGCGUGGGGAGCAAACAGGAUUAGAUACCCCUGUAGUCCCUGUCUCUUAUAC
rnacentral:rRNA from 1 species